UGGGGAAUUUUGCACAAUGGGGGAAACCCUGAUGCAGCGACGCCGCGUGAUUUAGAAGGCCUUCGGGUUGUAAAAAUCUUUUCUAUGGGAAGAAAAUGACAGUACCAUAGGAAUAAGGACCGGCUAAUUACGUGCCAGCAGCCGCGGUAAUACGUAAGGUCCGAGCGUUGUCCGGAAUCAUUGGGCGUAAAGGGUACGUAGGCGGGUAAGCAAGUUAGAAGUGAAAUCCUAUAGCUCAACUGUAGUAAGCUUUUAAAACUGCUCAUCUUGAGGUAUGGAAGGGAAAGUGGAAUUCCUAGUGUAGCGGUGAAAUGCGCAGAUAUUAGGAGGAAUACCGGUGGCGAAGGCGACUUUCUGGCCAUAACCUGACGCUGAGGUACGAAAGCGUGGGUAGCAAACAGG
rnacentral:rRNA from 1 species